UUCCAAAUGUUUAGUCGGAAUCUCCUUUCUUGUAACUUGAAGCCAUUGGUUCAAGUCCUACCCUCCAGAUCAGCAUAAAACGAGCAUGUCCCCUCUUCCCUUAAGAUAUUUGAAGAUAGCUAUCAUAUCUCCUCUCAGUCUCCUCUUUUCCAGGCUUAACAUACCCGGCUCCUUCAAGUGGUCCUUGUAAGGCUUAGUUUACAG